rnacentral:misc_RNA from 1 species
AUGAUACUAUCUCAUCCAAACUCAUAAACAAGCCCAACCAUAAACAGAAUUUCAAAAUCUCAAGGGAAGAAAAAUAAAUAAAUUCAUUGAGAAUCACUACUAACAGUUCCCAAUCCAUGAACCCACAAAAGUUCACUGAAACGUCGCUGAUUCAAAACCACAACAGAAUCUAACUAAAAAGGGGGACAUGGGAGUGGGAAUCCAUAUAGAAUGAGGAGGAUUCAUCAAAUUUGAAAAAAACGGAC